rnacentral:rRNA from 1 species
CAGUAGCCGCGGUAAUACGAAGGGGGCUAGCGUUGCUCGGAAUCACUGGGCGUAAAGGGUGCGUAGGCUGGUUCUUAAGUCUGAUGUGAAAGCCCCCGGCUCAACCGGGGAGGGUCAUUGGAAACUGGGAAACUUGAGUGCAGAAGAGGAGAGUGGAAUUCCACGUGUAGCGGUGAAAUGCGUAGAGAUGUGGAGGAACACCGAUGGCGAAGGCAGCCCCCUGGGCCAAUACUGACGCUCAUGCACGAAAGCGUGGGGAGCAAACAGGGUUAGAUACCCCCGUAGUCCCUGUCUCUUAUAC